rnacentral:rRNA from 1 species
AACCUGCCUGGUAGCGGGGGAUAACUAUUGGAAACGAUAGCUAAUACCGCAUAACAGUAGAUAUUGCAUGAUAUCUGCUUGAAAGGUGCAAUUGCAUCACUACCGGAUGGACCUGCGUUGUAUUAGCUAGUUGGUGGGGUAAAGGCUCACCAAGGCCACGAUACAUAGCCGACCUGAGAGGGUGAUCGGCCACACUGGGACUGAGACACGGCCCAG